rnacentral:rRNA from 1 species
CACUGUGGAAUUCGCCCUUCUUCGGUCAUAGAUUAAGCCAUGCAAGUGUUAGCAUAGGAAACUAUACUGCGAACAGCUCAUUAAUACGCUCAGAAUCUACUUGGCAAAGAAAGAGCUCUGCUCUGGGCAACAGCAGUAAUUCUGGUGCCAAUCCAGGAAAAUCUUUUAUCGGACAUGAGUUACGAGCUAAGAAGAUUGACCGCAAGGCAUGUCAAUCGAUUGAGCGACCUAUCAGCUUGUACUUAGGGUCUUUACCUAGGUAGGCUAUAACGGGUAACGGGCGGUUACCGUCGUACUGCCGGAGAAGGCGCCUGAGAAAUAGCGACUAUACCUACGGGUAGCAGCAGGCGCGAAACUUACCCACUCGAGACGCUCGGAGGUGGUAAUGACCAGUUUCGAGACAACUCCAUACGGGGUUGCUUGGAUAGGAUUACACAUUUCCAGUGUAGUGAAACCUAGCAGAGGGCCAGUCUGGUGCCAGCAGCUGCGGUAAUUCCAGCUCUGCCAGUGUACUCCCAUAUUGUUGCAGUUAAAACGCCCGUAGUCAGAAUCGCGAAGGAUGAGCGGGGCAACUCGCGUUCACUGUGAACAAAUCAGAAUGCUUAGUAUAGGGCUUUCAGAAUGACAAAGCGCAGCAUGAUAUCUUUACCAACGGUAAGAUCAAAGAGAGCCAUCGGGGGUAGAUCUAUUUCAUGGCGAGCGGUGGAAUGCAAUAACCCAUGAGAGAGAAACGNAGGCGAAAGCAUCUACCUAGGGGGUUUCUGUCGAUCAAGGGCGAGAGUAGGAGUAUCGAACCGGAUUAGAGACCCGGGUAGUUCCUACCGUAAACGAUGCCGACAAGGGCUUAUCCGAGACAUCGGGUAGGACCAUCGGAGAAAUCAUAGUUCAUGGGCUCUGGGGGAACUACGACCGCAAGGCUGAAACUUGAAGGAAUUGACGGAAGGGCACACCAGGGGUGGAGCUUGUGGCUUAAUUUGAAUCAACACGGGGAAACUUACCAGGACCAGAUGUUAUAAAAGACUGACAGGCUUUGGGUCUUUCAGGAUUAGACUUUGGGUGGUGCAUGGCCGUUGGUGGUGCGUGGGUUGACCUGUCUAGCGUUGAUUCAGAUAACGAGCGAGAUUACCGCCAAUUUAAUAGUUUGUAUUUAAGCGAAUGCAAAAUACUAAUUGGGACUCCCUGCGUCUAAGCAGGAGGAAGAGGGUAGCAAUAACAGGUCCGUGAUGUCCUUUAGAUGCCCUGGGCUGCACGCGCGCUACAAUGUGAGGAUCAAAGAGUUACGAGCCUCGACAGGGCGAGUUACUCUGAUAAACCCUCACGUACCUGGGAUUGACAGUUGUAAUCACUGUCAUGAACCAGGAAUCCCUUGUAAGCAUGUGUCAACAACGCAUGUUGAAUACGUCCCUGCCCUUUGUACACACCGCCCGUCGCUCCUACCGAUGGAUGAUUUGGUGAAGUCAUGCGGAGGAACUCAGGGGCUUCUCUGAGGGCCGAAGGUGAUUGAAUCAUAUUAUCUAGAGGAAGGAGAAGUCGUAACAAGGAAGGGCGAAUUCCACAUU